UACAAGACCUCCUGCUUCAGCUUUAAACGUGGAAGAAAGAAAUACAGCUUACCGUUACCUUUCCUUCCUCUAUGCUGAGCUGAUAAACUUUGAAAACUCAGAGGAAUGUUUACAGGUAACUCCUUCAUUAAAAGCACACUUAAAACAGACAUAAUAUCAUCUUCUUCCUUGUAUUUUAGAAUAGUUUUGAGCUUCUGAGCACAGAAAACACAUCAGCUGUAUCAAGAGGAACACGCAUACAGAAAUACCCCCAUUAAGAAAAUAAUUAGGGCUAUAUAAAGAACAGCCAAACAUAAAGAACAAGCUAAAAACCCUCCAAGAGGCACAGGCAUGCACUGAAAUAGCUCAGCCUCGCUUUCCAGGUGAUAGAAAUCAGCUGAGUCCCAGCACAGCUGAUGUUGGUGAAGGGUAUAAACAUGCAUGGAGUGCAAGUUUACUUCUUUUAUGCUGGGGUUAAGCAUACUUGAUUUUUCUGGACUGAAGGAAGUCUUGUCUGUGGACCAAUCAAACAUUGGAGCCAGCCUUCUAAAUCUGGGAUCAGUCAGGUCAAUGACAGCAGAGUGUUAUGAGCAACUCUAAGCUGGACUGGGAUGGAAAGAAGCAAAAAGUCAUGAUUUCAAAGCAGGAUCCUCCUUCAUCUCUGCAACAGAGUACUAGGCCUUAGGAUGAAGAACUCGCACUGUUCAUCUGGCAUCUUUCCUUAUCGUGCCAACUUAAAAUGAGUCACUGUAGUCCUCUCUGAAUAUUCUCCCAGCUCCUGGAAAUUGCCAAGCACAGCAGAAAAUGUGAGACGUUGUAGAAAGAAAAAUAAUGAUGAAAAAAGAGCUCUCUGAUAUCCCCAGAUGACACAAGACAAAUCGCAUUUAUGAACUGAAACAAGGGAGGUAAAGAAGGAAGGGAGGGAAUAGCUCCAUUUGCUGGUCCUAAAACCCAGGCUGAAUCCUGAAGAAACCCCUUCUGAGUUAUGAAAACACAGAGUAGACAUUCAUUCUGGUGGUGUUUCUGCCUCCACCCUCUCCAUUUACACAUGCUUUGGUGUUACUGCAGUCUUCUAGGAUCAGACACAGAGUCACCACAUCUCCAGAGAGCACUUUGCUUUCCAUUUGUCUUGAGCCAGCCAUUAUGGAUUGUGAGUUUUGGAACCUGAGAUCUUGCCUAAAGGGCUCUGAAUAAGUGCCACACGGAAUCCUUUUGCCUAAUAACAUUUUUGCUUUGUUCAAACUAGACACGAUGGAACCAGCCUUCCACAGUUUGCUUCGGGCCACUUGGGUUGUGCCUACAUGGCAAAGAGAAGCAAAGCACCUAGGUCUCCAAACCAGCACUGAGCCCAAUUGGUGCCUCCAGAUUGUGCCAUAAAGAGGUGUAAUAUGGCUCCUUGCACAGCUAUUCCUCACACAGAUCUCAGCCUAGCACAUGCUGCAAAAGCAGGAAUCUCAAUCCAUUGCUCCACUGUGCAUUAUGCCUUUGUCCUACCUCUCUCUGUAGACCACAACCAGAGUGAGAUUGGAGCAAAGCUAGAGGUCCUGACUACUUCCAUCUUCAGGCACUUUUUAUCCCUGCUAUUGAUAGAGUAACAGGAGCGGGUUUUGCAGACUCACAGCAAAAAGACCCUCCCUGCUAAGGCGAAGGAACACGGCCCAACAUAGAGGAACAACAGGGAGCAGGGAAAUGACACACAGCCUUGGUGGUGAUGCUUCAUACGUGCCUGCCUCAGUAAAGCAUUCUGUCUUCACAGCAAUUGUUCUGGAGACAUUUGUGGUGUUUUACAGUUGGGAAAUACUCAUACAGAAGGCAAAAGUGUAUAUAGUGGGGUAACAGCCACCGACUUCUGACUCAACUUUCUUAGAGCAAAUCGUUGUUCUUUCCCAGAAAACUGGGGUCUGUAUGAUUGCUUUUUUCCUGGAAACAACUGAUGAGUGCUGUCAGCAUUUUCUUUGAAUGACAGAACAAUGCAGGAAACAUUUGAUUUUCCUUGUAAAUUUCAGCUUUGCUGACCAGAUACAAUCCUUAUCCCUUUCGACUGCUGCUCUUUAUAAAUGCAUGGCAAAUAAGGCUCCAUGUAACAACACAGAAAAGUCAUGAAUAGCAAGAUAAGAUACAGAGAUAUUUCAGAUGUCCUGAAAUGGGUUUAUACAUUCAUGAGGAAAGAAAUGUGAGCUGCUUUUGUUGCCUAUGUUCCUUAAUACAGCUGAACUAGAAGAAUAUAGUGAAGACUAAUGGGCAUGGUGGGGAAGGGUUGGACUGGAUCAUCUUAGGAAUAUUUUCCAACCUUAAUGAUUCUGAUUCUAUGAAUAUACUGUACAAGCCAUCCACCUUUUUGUUGUGUCAUCCUACAUAUAUAUUAUUUUUUUCCUCUGAAAAGACAGAUGCUGUUCACCUUGCCUGUGGGAGGGGUCAGUCUGAGCACAAGACAAAGCUGUCAUCAAUACUUUAUGCAUCACAUCUCACAGACAUGCAGGUUUGAGUGGGAAAAGCAACCGUAACAUUUCCAAACAAGUGAUUCAUUCAUUUCUCUGCAAUACUUAUUGGGGCUAAAAUAGCCAUCCCUACCCGUGGGCAGUUUGCAUGGGGCCACACCUGCUUGGAGACAUGUAUGCAACCCAUUCUUAAGUUCCCUUCCAAGCUAAGCUGUUGUAUGUGUCCCUUCUGUAUCUCAUGAAUGCUCUGUUGACCAUUAUAUUUAUGAAGAAAGCUGUAGUCUCUCUGUUUCUUCCAGGCUUUUCUUACCUUAGCUUGCAAGCAAAGGGCUUUUCUUUGGGUGACAAGGUGAAGGACGUGGCGCAUCUGGUGAGGUUACCAUGCUUUGCCAUGUCCAGAACAGAUGGAAUCCAUGUGGAGUCACCCAAAACGAGGGGUCAGUAGGUUUCAGCUGGUGAUUGCAGCAUGUGGAGGUUCCAUGGGGCAGAGGAUGUUGCUCACUGAUCCAGGAGAAGCUGCCUGCUCUUAGACUCCUAGCUCAGGUCUUCGAUGUCUCAUUUAUUACUGUACCUUCAUCAUUCACCUGAAGUGCAAGCUACAGUCACAAGUGCAAAAGGAUACAUGCUGCAAAAGCCAACGCAAACUUUCUUUGUAAUUAAUUAAGAGGACUUUUAGAAGAGAAGGAAUACUCCAUUUAUCCAUUCUGAUUGAAAACAGAGAUUUCCUCAAACAGCAGAAGCAAAAAAAUCUAACAUUAUUCUCCCUUUCUCAGCCCCCGACUGUCAGGCUGAAAAAUGUUUUCUUCAGAGCCUGGAUUUUUCUAUAGGAACCCAAGUCUGUUUUUUUUCCUAUAGGAUCCUACGUAUUAUGUUCUAUAGAACCCUACAUCUCUUUUUUUUUCUAGAGGAACCCAUAUAUUUUUUUCUACAGGCUCCUGUGUCUUUUGAUUUAAAGGACCCCACAUCUUUUUUCUUCUCUAGGACCCACGUCAGUCUUAUGUUUGGUACAAAACGGAAAGACAUCAAUGAAAACAUGAAAUAAUAAUAAUUAUAUCCCUAGUGGAGCGGAUGGUCAAUGGAUGGUAACCAUAUAUCUGCCAAGUGUGAUAUGGGAGACAAAAUCUUGAGAGGAAGCAUUUGCUGCUUGCCAAUUUACCUCGAUAAAGGAAUUUCCUGGUGUCUCCCCUCCUAUACUGACCCUAUGCCAAAGGGCUCUGGGCAAUAUGUGGGAUCCAGAUUACCUCUGAAUUUCGACACGUUGCUCCUUGCUUUGCCUUUUGCUAACUGCCAUAGCACCUCGAAGAGGGGGGGUAUGGGGAGCUGAGACGAUGUGCGUAAAAUGCU